UGGGGAAUAUUGGACAAUGGACCGAGAGUCUGAUCCAGCAAUUCUGUGUGCACGAUGACGUUUUUCGGAAUGUAAAGUGCUUUCAGUUGGGAAGAAAAAAAUGACGGUACCAACAGAAGAAGUGACGGCUAAAUACGUGCCAGCAGCCGCGGUAAUACGUAUGUCACGAGCGUUAUCCGGAUUUAUUGGGCGUAAAGCGCGUCUAGGUGGUUAUGUAAGUCUGAUGUGAAAAUGCAGGGCUCAACUCGGUAUUGCGUUGGAAACUGUAUAACUAGAGUACUGGAGAGGUAAGCGGAACUACAAGUGUAGAGGUGAAAUUCGUAGAUAUUUGUAGGAAUGCCGAUGGGGAAGCCAGCUUACUGGACAGAUACUGACGCUAAAGCGCGAAAGCGUGGGUAGCAAACAGG
rnacentral:rRNA from 1 species